rnacentral:lncRNA from 1 species
CAAGUGUUGGAUCUGUAGUUGGGUCCCAUUACCUAACUGAGCGGACCCGGGUCCCUGAUACGGCAUUGGGGAUGAUAUUGACUGGACGUUCGGAGUAAAAUGGUGAGUUGCUCCAGUAUCUGGGUACCAGGCUGCCAUGUCAUGUUGGUCCAGGUCACUUGUCGAGAAAUAAGAAUCUGCCAUUUGAGUGUUAUUUGUUACGGGCUGCCUAAAAUAAUUGAGACUUUGUUGUUGGACCGGGACUGGAUAGUAUUGGGCUGAAGGGGAAUUAAUGUAUUGGGCCUGGGCCACGUUCAUUUGUGGGUUUGGUUGAUAUGGGGAAUUAAUUUGUGGGUGGUUUUCUUGGGCUUGGGC